GACGAACGCUGGCGGCGUGCCUAAUACAUGCAAGUCGAACGCAGUGGGGACGGGUGAGUAACACGUGGGUAACCUCCCAUCAGAGGGGAUAACACUUGGAAACAGGUGCUAAACCGAUACUGGUGGCUGGACCCUCGGUGCAUUAGCUAGUUGGUGAGGUAACGGCUCACCAAGGCCACGAUGCAUAGCCGAUCUGAGAGGGUGAUCAGCCACACUGGAACUGAGACACGGCCCAGACUCCUACGGGAGGCAGCAGUAGGGAAUCGUCGGCAAUGGACGAAAGUCUGACCGAGCAACGCCGCGGGAGUGAAGAAGGUUUUCGGAUCGUAAAGCACUGUUAUUAGAGAAGCGGUAUCUAACCAGAAAGCAACGGCUAACUACGUGCCAGCAGCCGCGGUAAUUC
rnacentral:rRNA from 1 species